GCCCUGCUGGCGCAAUGGUAGCGCGUUAGACUUCUAAUCUAAAGGUUGUGGGUUCGAGUCCCACGUAGGGUG
rnacentral:tRNA from 1 species